UGACCAAUCAGGGCAGACAUCCAACCAACUUAAAUGUAAGCUGAUUCUUACAUGCUACCUUUCCCUACCAGUUAAAUAUCAGCCCUGUGCCAUGGACUGAGGAGAUAUGAAGAAGGAAAUCAACACAAGAUUGUGUUGGCACAAGAGAAAGCUGCUCUGAAUGGUGAGAACAGGAGUCAGCCCACCUAUCCUAAGUCAAAGGAACCCACCAGUUCCAAGGAGGAGGCACAGAUGAAAAGAAGAAAGGAAAGAAGUGAAAGAAGAAGAACAAGUGAGAGGUGGGAGGAGAAGGACAAGGAUGGUGGAGCUGAAGCAGUACCUGGCACCGUGGCCAUCCUUCCAAGUUUGUCUUGGCUCCUGACUUCAACCAGUGGUUUUUGAUACCUUUCUCACGUCAUUUCCCAGGGUAGCACAAGCUGCCUUGUGAAUUACCAGAGUGAAGAAAUGGCCCCAAGGGACAUCAUCUUGAAGCCACGUGAGGAAAGACACAGCCACAUGAUUCUCUCAGCCUCAAUGCACCCCGGUAGGAUGCUACUCGCCCGGUUUGCUGAGGACUGAGAGGGUUUCCAGCAUACAGGAUUUUCAGUUUUCAAACCACGACAGUCUCAGGCCAACCGGAAUGAGAUCAUCCCCGAUCACCAAUGAGUAAAUUGAGCCGAGAGGGAUAAAGAGACUUAUUCAAAAGACACAGUAGACACUAUUAAAGUUGGACUCCAGAACACAGAUUCCCUGACUCUUUCUACUAGAUAAAUCGCACUGCCUUCCUGCAAUGCUGCUCCCAAUGCAUGUCUCAUCCUUCAGAGAAUUCCAAAAGAAACCAUUCAAAGAGAAGUUGAAUACUGAGUGAAUCUGAGCUACUCUCCUGGACUUCUAAUCUCUGAAGAACAAAGUUUACCGGAAGAAAUUUGUGAAGUCAUUUGGCCUAUUUCGUGGGGCGCCAAUAAUAUUCAUAUAAUUUCAGCUGAAUUCUUGUUAAUCAGUAGCACACUCUUGACCUUUGUGAAAACAUCAGGCCAACUGAGUGGGCUCAAUUACAAAAGUGUCACUUCUUUUGUCUCUUUAGGCUCAAAUGGAAGGGAAUUUCUUUACCACAAUUCCUAAUAUGGAAACUGACAUCACAGAGGAUAAAAAGCUGCCGUUCUUUUGAAACACUAAACAUAUUCUCAUCUCAGGGUCUUUACUCUUGCUGUCCCUUCUACUUAUUUAUCCCAGAACUUCACAUGUCUUCCUCCUCCUCCCUCCACCUCAGGUCUCAACUCAAAUAUUAUUCCCUCCAAGAAGCCUUCUUUUGUUGCCUCGAUUAAAGCACCUUCCUGCUCAGCCCCAGCACUAAUCAUGUGUAUUGGGUUGAAAAGCAGCCCCCAAAAUUCAUGUCCAACCGGAACCUCAGAAUGUGACCUUAUUUGGAAAUAGGGUCUUUGCAGAUUUAACUAAGGUUAAGUGUAGAGUUGAGAUCAUACUAGGUGAGGAUGAGCCCUAAAUCCAAUGAGAGUGUCCUUAUAAGAGACAGAAAAGGACACAUGGAGAGA
rnacentral:lncRNA from 1 species